UUUGCACAUAGGUGAAUAAAUGCAACUACAUCAGAAGAAACAGUGUGGGUGAGAGGCGAGUUCUUCUGCACUGACUGUUAGACCACUUCCGAUGUGUCAUUGUGAAUUUAGUUGUCAGGCUCAAUCUAAGACCUUCUGAUGUGAUGCAGGCUCUGAUCUGUGUUGUGAAGAUAAGCAGUACUAUAACCACGGAUGACGUGUUUGUCUGUUCAGUAUCGUUACUUCAUCAGAAAUGUGAGGCCCUCAACCAUGAUGCAAAAAGCCUUUAUUUUUUUACUCAUUUUCUGGAACUCAUCCUCCUUUGUCUCAGGAAACACAGGCACAUACCAACUUGAGUUCUUGCUGGGGUGUGAAGCUGUGGUACCGUGUCAACAUACGCGGAGCGACUCGGACUCAAACUCUUUCAAAUGGUUUUACAAGAAGGAUGAACACAGUCACAGAAUCCAGAUAUUUUUUCAAGACAAGCAAGGACUACCACAUCGUCAUGACUUCCAUCCCAAAAGGAGUGUUACGCACAACCGAUCCUUGGUGAUCUCUUCUUUUAAAGAGGAAGAUCAAGGCCUGUACUGGUGUGAAAAGUGUUAUCAAGACAGCUGCAACACCGAACAGUCCACAGUGAUCAGAGUCAAGAAAGAAAUUCUGGAAGAAAUUCAACAGACAGUGUAUGUGACUGAAGGCAGCAGUUUUGAGUAUGAAUGUCUUGGUGAAUUUACUAACUCAAAAUGGAGUUUUGAAGCAAGUAACGCGACUGCUCGCAGGAUCUCAGCAGUUAGAAUGAAAACACAAAACCUUUGGACUUCCAACAAAUCCAUACACAUUGCAAACGUCGAAGGAGCACACGUUGGGAGGUAUACCUGCUGGACGAGUAGAUGUGGUGGACAGAGACACAAGCUUCUUACUAUCAACUUGUGUGUAAUGACAGUACACCAGAGUGGCGAUUCAUCUGUCUCUUGUGAUGUGAUAUGUGAUCUGGAAUUCAGUCGCAUCAAAUCUUACCUCAAAUCCAAUGAGGGGACAGGCACAACAACUAUAUCAGUGGGUGUAGAUCCAAAGGGGUCUUUAAAUUGCAGCCCAAAACAGAUCCAUGAUGUGUACAGUAAAGUUAACGGCACUCACAAACCGUCAAAUGCUUCAAACAAAACAACAGAAAAAGAUUGCGGGCAGGUUGGCAAUGCAGCUUUUUGUCUUAUGGAAACUUCCUGUUUAUUUGGUUGUUUAGUGGUCUGCUGAUUGCAUAAUGCAGCAAAGGCUUAAGUGUUUGCGAAGGUUAAGUGUCCCUGUUGAUUCUGUUUCUCUUUCCAUGUCUUCUAAGUUUUUCCUGAUCAUCCCUCUUGCUGUGGGAUUGAUGAGAGGUUGAAAGAGGAGAAUUCAGUGGUUUAUUCAUCAGUCAUCAUCGGGAGAACUGCUAAGACAUCAAACAACCACAUUGAUUGUGUAUAAAGUGAAAUAAAUGUAUAGAGAAAACUAUCAGGGUCCAUAAACGCCUCUGUUAUAAUGACAGUUUCUACACUUAUAAUCAUAUGAUUAAAUUCAUUCUCCCC